UAGCUAGCGAUAGUGAGCGAAUCCCAAAAAGUGCGUCGUAGUCCGGAUUGGAGUCUGCAACUCGACUCCAUGAAGUCGGAAUCGCUAGUAAUCGUGAAUCAGAAUGUCACGGUGAAUACGUUCCCGGGCCUUGUACACACCGCCCGUCACACCAUGGGAGUGGGCUGCAAAAGAAGUGGGUAGUUUAACCUUUCGGGGAGGACGCUCACCACUUUGUGGUUCAUGACUGGGGUGAAGUCGUAACAAGGUAGCCCUAGGGGAACCUGGGGCUGGAUCACCUCCUUAUACGAAGAUA
rnacentral:rRNA from 1 species